rnacentral:rRNA from 1 species
GUGGGGAAUAUUGGACAAUGGGCGAAAGCCUGAUCCAGCCAUGCCGCGUGUGUGAAGAAGGUCUUCGGAUUGUAAAGCACUUUAAGUUGGGAGGAAGGGUAGUAACCUAAUACGUUGCUACUUUGACGUUACCGACAGAAUAAGCACCGGCUAACUUCGUGCCAGCAGCCGCGGUAAUACGAAGGGUGCAAGCGUUAAUCGGAAUUACUGGGCGUAAAGCGCGCGUAGGUGGUUCAGUAAGUUGGAAGUGAAAUCCCCGGGCUCAACCUGGGAACUGCUUUCAAAACUGCUGAGCUAGAAUACGGUAGAGGGUGGUGGAAUUUCCUGUGUAGCGGUGAAAUGCGUAGAUAUAGGAAGGAACACCAGUGGCGAAGGCGACCACCUGGACUGAUUCUGACACUGAGGUGCGAAAGCGUGGGGAGCAAACAGGAUUAGAAACCCGGGUAGUCC